rnacentral:rRNA from 1 species
CACGCAGGCGGUCUUGCCAGUCAGGGGUGAAAGCCCGAGGCUCAACCUCGGAACUGCCUCUGAUACUGUAAGACUUGAGACUAGGAGAGGGUGGUUGAAUUCCCAGUGUAGAGGUGAAAUUCGUAGAUAUUGGGAGGAACACCAGAGGCGAAGGCGGCCACCUGGACUAGAUCUGACGCUCAGGUGCGAAAGCGUGGGGAGCAAACA